rnacentral:rRNA from 1 species
UACGGGGGGGGCAAGCGUUGUUCGGAAUUACUGGGCGUAAAGGGCGCGUAGGCGGCCCAGCUAAGUCGAGUGUUAAAUCCCAGAGCUUAACUCUGGACAGUCGCUCGAUACUAGCGGGCUAGAGUGUGGAAGAGGCGAGUGGAAUUCCUGGUGUAGCGGUGGAAUGCGCAGAUAUCAGGAGGAACACCAAUAGCGAAGGCAGCUCGCUGGGACGGUACUGACGCUAAGGCGCGAAAGCGUGGGGAGCGAACAGG